rnacentral:rRNA from 1 species
AACGAACGCUGGCGGCAGGCCUAACACAUGCAAGUCGAGCGAGGACUUCGGUUCUAGCGGCGGACGGGUGAGUAACGCGUGGGAAUGUGCCCUUCUCUACGGAAUAGCCCUGGGAAACUGGGAGUAAUACCGUAUACGCCCUUUUGGGGAAAGAUUUAUCAGAGAAGGAUCAGCCCGCGUUGGAUUAGGUAGUUGGUGGGGUAAUGGCCUACCAAGCCGACGAUCCAUAGCUGGUUUGAGAGGAUGAUCAGCCACACUGGGACUGAGACACGGCCCAGACUCCUACGGGAGGCAGCAGUGGGGAAUCUUAGACAAUGGGGGCAACCCUGAUCUAGCCAUGCCGCGUGAGUGAUGAAGGCCUUAGGGUUGUAAAGCUCUUUCAGCUGGGAAGAUAAUGACGGUACCAGCAGAAGAAGCCCCGGCUAACUCCGUG